GAUAAAUUUAAUUAUGGUUGGGUUGCUAGUUGAAUUAAUACAUUAUAUAUAAAAUAUUAAAAUUAGAUAUAUGUUUGGGAGUUUUAAUAAAGAAUUCUAGAUAAAUUAGUGGAAAUUAAAUAUGGGAAUUAAAAUUAAUAAUGAUAAAUAAAGUGCCAGCAAUAGCGGUUAAACUUUGAUUAUAAGCUAUCAAUCUUCGAAACUCUACCUAAUUUACUUUGAAAUGUAGCCUAUUCUUGAAUCAUAGACUGUAGGUGAAAUUUAAAUUUAUGAACAUAGGAUAGGUUAAAUGGAAAGUGUGUAAAAAAACUGGAAUAUAGACUAGGAUUAGAUACCCUAUUAUUCUAGGACAACAAUUAAGUUUUUACCAUUAAAUGUAGAAUCAUUAAAAUAAAAUAAUAUGGCGGCCUUUUAAUCUUUUUAGGGAAACUUGUUGUUUAAUUUGAUAAUCCACGAUAGGACAUACUUGGAUUAUAAUUUAUGUAUUGUUAUUUUAAUAUAUAAACAAAAAUUUUUCAUAUAUAGAAAUAUUUAAUAGAAUAGUACUUUAAAUCAAAAUGUAGUAUAUCCAAGAACAAAUGAGUUAUAAUAAAUUUUAUUUAUGGAUAGACAUUUUUAAUAUUGUCUGGAAAGAGGAUUUAAUAGUAAGCUAAUCAAAUUUCUUUAGCUGAAUAAAGUAAUAAUUGGUGUACAAAUCGCCCGUCAAUUUCAUAAAGGAAUAAGUCGUAACAUAGUAAAGGUACUGGAAAGUGUUUUUAGCCGAAA
rnacentral:ncRNA from 1 species